ACGUAGGAGGCAAGCGUUAUCCGGAGUUACUGGGCGUAAAGGGUGCGAAGGCGGUCGUCUAAGUCGAAGGUGAAAUGUCUACGGCUCAACCGAGGCAUUGCCUCCGAUACUGGACGACUUGAGUGCGGAAGGGGAGCGUGGAAUUCCUGGUGUAGCGGUGAAAUGCGUAGAUAUCAGGAGGAACACCGGUGGCGAAGGCGACGCUCUGGUCCGCAACUGACGCUCAUGCACGAAAGCCAGGGGAGCGAACGG
rnacentral:rRNA from 1 species